AACGGCCAUACCAUGCUGAAUCUACCGGUUCUCGUUAGAUCACCGAAGUCAAGCAUCAUUGGGCGCGGUCCAGUACUUGGGUGGGUGACCACCUGGGAACACCGCGAGCUGUU
rnacentral:rRNA from 1 species